UAUGAUAGGAGAUACCUGAAUAAUCCCGACUGGCUCAAAAUGGGCUGUGUUUAGAUGGUAUUCAGACCAGACAUCAGGCAAAUAUCAGUGUCGGAGCCCCAGUUUAUUCAGGAGUCGUCUGGUAUGCCUCAGUGUAUGA